rnacentral:piRNA from 1 species
UCGAGCUUCUUGGGAAUACCUUGUUCAUC